rnacentral:lncRNA from 1 species
GAUUCUUUUGUUGAUCAAUUUUCACCCUUAAUUUUGCUUACCACAUAGAACCCACUUUCUUAGAAUGCAGGAGCCACUUCCAUUGGAAAUUAUCCCAGUUUCAUUUUUAGUUUUUGAGACUUUGUAGAUUUGCCAGUGGGGUCUCAACUCUUGAUGGAUAAAACAAUGGUCUUGUAGAUUUGCCCGUAAAGCUUCGGUAUUUUCACCGCCUCGGGUGUUUUCAACACCACCACCUUCUCCUUAUUAUCUGCCUUUACCGGAAGUGUUGCUUGUGGCUUUGUUCUGUCCCAGCAACAACAACAAAUCAACAAAAAAUGCAUUGAUAUCAUACUAACAAUUUGAUACUUUACAUCUUCAAGUAAAAAAAAGAAAAAAAAAGAUCAAAUAGCUACAAUAUUUCCCCAAGUAAACAAAAUUAUCAAUUAUAAACAUUGAACACUAACUAUUUCUCGAAUUGGAUAGGGGUACCGUUACUAUAUCUUAAGUAGAACACUACUAUUAUUAUUUCUUAAACUGAACACUAGCUCUAUCACUAUUUUUUAAACUGAGCACUGGUACUAUCACUAUUCUUAAAUUGAACACUAACUAUUUCGUAAACUGAGCACUGGUAUUAUCACUAUUUCUUAAACUGAAUACUCACUAUUUUGUAUACUGAACACGCGUAUUAUCAUUAUUUCUUAAACUUAACACUAAUAUUAUUACUAUUUCUUAAACUGAAUACUAAUUAUUUUUUAAGCUAAACACUAACUAUUUUUAGAAUUAAACACAUGUACUGUCACUAUUUCUUAAACUAAAUACUGAUUAUUUCUAGAACUGAAAAAUGACUAUUUAUUAAAUUGAAAACUUGCUCUAUCAUUAUUUCUUAAACUAAAUUCUAACCAUUUUUCAAAUUGAACAAGAGUACCAUCACUAUUUCUUAAAUUGCGCUAUCACUAAUUUUUAAACUAAACACUGACUAUUUCUUAAACGGAACACUAGUACUAUAAUUGUUUCGUAAACUAAACACUGACUAUUUCUUAAAUGGAACACUAGUACUAUCACUGUUUCGUAAACUAAACAUUGACUAUUUAUCAGACGAACACUAGUACUAUCAUUGUUUCGUAAACUAAACACUGACUAUUUCUUAAACAGAACACUAGUACUAUCACUGUUUCGUAAACUAAACAUUGACUAUUUAUCAAACGAACACUAGUACUAUCACUAUUUCGUAAACUAAACACUGACUAUUUAUCAAACGAACACUAGUACUAUCACUGUUUCGUAAACUAAACACUUAAUCAUUUCAUCUUCUUAAAAACUCACUUGAAAAAGAUAUGAGUAAAAUAUUGCAAAAGGCUAGAAAUAGUCAACAUAAUCAAAACUAGAAGACCCCAAAUAUGCAGAAAAUAAAUAGAGAAAUUUUUUUUUUAACAAAAAUGAUUAUAAUGAUUAUAAUGUCAAAACAAAAUAAAUGUGGGAGAGAGAGCAGUACAAACAUAAUCCUAUAAUUAAGUAUAGUUCAAUUUGGUUCUUCUAAUAAUCUGGAGAAGCAUCUCCCAAUCUCAUUGACAUUGCACAGCCCACAAAAACAAAACAGUAGAAAGCAUUGCCUGCCGGCGGUGGCAGCAGCCUCUAACCCACUAACGGUGCUAAAAAAGUGACGUUUAGUGCACGGAAUCCACCAAUGGUGACGGACCCAACCUAAAUUUUUAAGAACCAAUAAUUAUAACAAAAAAAUAUAUGAAAAAAUUAAGUUAACUACCAUAAACAAAGAAAAAAACAGAAUAAUAAUUCUGGAAUUUGUCCAAUAUUUAGCAGCAGAUUUUCAAGAUUUCAAGCAAUAUAUUUCGCACCCAAAUGCUAAUAACCAAUUAAUAAUCCAAUUUAUCUUUUGCGGGCAAAGAUAUGGAAGGAAAAAAGAAAAUUGUAUUGUAAUUUGUUUCUGGGAAAUACAAAUCCACAUUUUUUCACAAAUUCGAAACCAAUGUUAGAGGUACCUCUUGGAGUCCAUCUUUAAGCCAUCUCUGAUGA